CGCAACACCAAAUUCAUCAUGUAUUGAUGUGCUAUAUGACGUAGUGAGAAGGUGACUGUGUGUUGGGGGGAAUCAUGUUAAAGAGAUCACGAGAGGUUUACUUUUAACAUAUCUUUAUAUUAGUGUAUUUAAUAUUAACAGGCACAUAAUUUUAUAUCACCAUGUGAAUACAUUACUUAAAGGCAUAAAUACCAGUUAACUCCUAGUAAACAUUUAUACACAUUCUUCGUGUUAAUUGAAGGGGGGUAUGAGCCUACAACAAAUCCAGCAUUUUUCAAGGAAUUCUCCUUAACAAAUUAGCCCUUUGCCUGGAAGUUUAUAAAGAGUGAAGAGAACAGAGAAUCAAAAAAAAACAACAAAAAAAACCCCGUAAAAAGAUAAGUGAUGUUUAAAUGGCCGGUAUUAGAAAUAAACCACAGACAAUUACAAUAGAAUUGCAGGAUUGUGAUCAUUAUACAGUUGCUAGAAGUCCUGCAAAUUUAGAGUUGUAGCUGGGAGAGACAGAUACGUUUAUAAUCGAAUAUGAAUCUUGAUUGGCAAAACAAAAAAACAGCAGUCACAAUAUAAGCUGAAUUGAAAUCGACAUUGAUGACCAGAAAAUCCAAGUGUGGAUGAAUCGAUUGCUGUCCCAAGUCUGCUGUUCAAUCAAAGCAAAAAUAGGAAUGUUGUAGAACUCUUUCAUAGAUGCUUCAAUGCCUAAAAAUAGAAUUCUACAUACACAGAGAACUUAUUCUGAGGCGUUAUUGUUACUUGUAUUCAGUGGCGUCUCUAGGAUUCAUUUUUCGGGGGGGCACAUGGAGGGCCAGUGACAAAAGUAGGGGGGCACAUUUAACCCCGCCCUUGCCGCAGUUUGACCCCGCCCCUGUUGCAUGUUAAGCCAAUGUGUUUUUUUUUUUUAAUAAUACCUGGUGGAGGAUUCAUUAUUUUCCACCAGGGAUUAUUAAAAAAACAAACACAUUAUCCUUGAUACAGUGCCAUAGUUGCCAACAUUUGAAAAAAAAAUUCCAAGGACAUUUUGCAGCACAGCUAUCAAUUACUGUCUGGGUAUAAUAUCCCUGGACAGUCAGUGCUCUCUGUAAAAUACAGGGUUGUGUGUAUAAUAAAUUGGGACACUCAGUGCUCCCUGUAUAGUGCUGCUCUCUGUAUAAUACAGGUCUGUUUGUGUAUAAUAUCCCAAGACAGAGAGCAGCACUAUACAGGAAGCACUGACUAUCCCGGGAUAUUAUACAGGCACAGGCCUGUAUUAUACAGAGAGCAGCACUAUACAGGAAGCACUGACUAUCUCGGGAUAUUUUAUACACACAGAUUUGUAUUAUACAGAUAGCUGAGCAUAUACCCCAUGUCCCAAUCUCUAGACUACUAGUACCUGUCAACAGCAGCUCCCGGACGCGUGUAACAGGGCUAAAGUGUGCGGCAGCUCACACAGAUUAUUCAGCGGUAAAGUGCACUCGCUGGCAGAGCCAAACUGGGAAUCCCUGGGAAUCCAAAGCAGCCCUGGAAAAAAAA